GACAGAGGGUGCAAGCGUUGUUCGGAAUCAUUGGGCGUAAAGCGCACGUAGGCGGUCGUGUAAGUCGGAUGUGAAAGCCCUGGGCUCAACCCAGGAAGUGCAUCCGAUACUGCACGACUUGAGUCCCGGAGAGGGUGGUGGAAUUCCUGGUGUAGAGGUGAAAUUCGUAGAUAUCAGGAGGAACACCGGUGGCGAAGGCGACCACCUGGACGGAGACUGACGCUGAGGUGCGAAAGCGUGGGGAGCAAACAGG
rnacentral:rRNA from 1 species